UUUUUUUUUUUUUUUUGGAAACAGAGUCUCACUCUGUUGCUCAGGCUGGAGUGGGUGGUGCAAUCCCAGCUCACUGCAACCUCUGCUUCCUGGGUUCAAGCAAUUCUCAUGCUUCAAUCUCCCAAGUAGCUGGGAUUAUAAAUGUGCACCUCCAUGCCCAGCUAAUAUUUUGUGUUUUUAGUAAAGAUGGGGUUUUGCUAUGUUGACCAGGCUGAUCUCAAACUCCUGGCCUCAGGUGAUGCGCCUGCCUUGGCCUCCCAAAGCUGAAAGACUCACACAAUCUGAUGUCAGGAUCUCCUACAAAGCUAAGUAAUCAGGAGACAGCAUGGUAUUGGUGUAGGCAUGAACAAAUAGAUUAUUGGAAUAGACCAAAGUCCAGAAAUAGACUCACGCAUAGUCAAUGAAUUUUUCAACAAGUGACACUGGGAUCCGAUUUUGAAAAAUAGGCAAAAGACUUAGACACUUCAAAAAGAAUAAAUACAAAUGACCGACAAGCCCAUGAGGAAAUGCUCACUUCAUUAGUUGCCAGAGAAAUGCAGUUUGAAACCACAGUAAGGCUCCAUUCUACACCCAACAGAAUGACUAAUAUUAAAAAGACCUACAAAACCAUGUUGACAAGGAUGUGCAGCAACUAGAACUCUCAUAAAUGUUUUGUGGGUGUUCUAGUUGCUCCACAUAAAUGUCAUAAAUGUCUUAUACCAUCAAAUGGCAUAACCACUUUGGAAAACUGAUGGUUUCCUAAAAGGUAAAUAUAUAUCUACCCAGAGAUUCCACUUGUAGGUUUUGCCCAAGUGAAACAAAAAUAUAUGUUCACAAUAAGACACACAUAAAAUAGUAAAAAACUUGAAACAACGCAAAUGUCCAGCAAUAGAGGAAUAGACAAUUUGCAGCAGAUCUAUACGAUAGACUACUAAUCAGUAACAGAAAAGAACAAACUACCAACAUAUACAACAAACUACUGAUGUUGUGAAUCUAAAAAAUACUAUGUUUAGCAAAAUAAGCCAGACACAAAAGAGCACACCUUGUAUGAUUCCAUGUAUAUGAAGUUCUAGAAUAGGCAGAAUGAUCUAUAGUAACAGUAUCAGAAAAGUGGUUGCUUGGAGUGGGAGGGUUGACUGGAAAUGGGCACAAGUGAAUUCCUGGGGUGAUCAAGACAUUCUGUACCUUGAUUGAGUGUUGGUUACAUGGGUAUAGAUAUUUGUCAAAAUGUGUUGAAUUGCUCACUAAGAUCUGCACAUUUUACUGUAUGUAAAAUUUACCUCAAUUUAAAAAAAUGCAAAAUUCCCCAAGGAAUCAUAGUUGCUUCUAAUAUUUACAUAUAAAAUGUCUUUAGAAGUCUUCUAGUCAAAAUCUCGCAUUACUAAUUUAGGGAGCACUAAUACAAUUCCAUGUAUAAAAACUAAGAAAAUGUGGGUGUGGCCGAGGCUGUUAUUUCAAGGAAAUUUUGUAAAUGUUGUUAGUAAUCAUUUGUAAGUAUAUGUCAAUAUCUUCCAUUUGGCUGGUGAGAAACCUUAAAAUCUCACUUCUCCCAGCCAGUAUUUCCAGGGUGUAGUAAGGGAGCAGGACUUAGAAUUCUCUUGGUCAUUGCUGACUUUUUAAGUCCCUGCUUCCACUGAUCUUUUGAUCUGUGUUCUAGAACACAGAUCUAGAUUUUGCUUUCUUUGCUUUGUCCACACUGCUUCUUUUCUUAGGGCAAUACUCAUAAAACCAGCAUGAUGAUUUCACUUUUCCAAAGACCACUGAUUCAAGGUCCAAUGCAGAGACUCUUUGAUGAAAUGUUAAGCAGUGGGGCAGUUUAAUAUUGCAGCGUAGCACAUUGAAUCAUAAACAUACU
ensembl:lncRNA